AAGUCGUAACAAGGUUUCCGUAGGCGGAACAUUGCGUCCUUUCGGGUACAUCUGCUGAAACCUUAGUGAAUUGAUUAGGCGACUCUAAACAAAUAUAAUCCUCGGGGCUUGCCCUUGAGCACUAGCCAUUUCUUUUAGAUGGCAACAUUACCAGUAUGCGGGAACAUUCAACUAAGUUGGAUAACCCGCAGUCACAUUUGUGGCCCACAGGCUAAAUGGUAAUGGGCAUAGAUGCAAGGCAGCUAUGCUUCAGAUAUAGUCGGUCCCCAGAUACCUCUGGGAAACUUGUGGACUUGGUGGCGGAGCUCCUUCGAAACCAAUUUCCACGAGCGAGUAAACGUUCCGUAGGUGAACCUGCGGAAGGAUCAUUACCGAGAGAGGGGCUUCGCGCUCCCGGGGGUUUCGGCCUCCACCUCUUCACCCAUUGUGUACCUACCUCUGUUGCUUUGGCGGGCCAUGGGGUUCGCCUCUCGCCGGCCUCCGGGCUGGUGAGCGCCCGUCGGAGGCCCUUCAAAUUCUGCUUAUAGUGACGUCCGAGUUAAAACACAAAUAGCAAAAACUUUCAACAACGGAUCUCUUGGUUCCAGCAUCGAUGAAGAACGCAGCGAAAUGCGAUAAGUAAUGUGAAUUGCAGAAUUCAGUGAAUCAUCGAAUCUUUGAACGCACAUUGCGCCCCUUGGCAUUCCGGGGGGCAUGCCUGUUCGAGCGUCAUUACACCCCUCAAGUAUAGCUUGGUAUUGGGUCCUCGCCCCUCGGGCGUGCCCGAAAAGCAGUGGCGGUCCGGAGCGACUUUAAGCGUAGUAAAUUUUCAUCCCGCUUUGAAAGAUCGCGUCGCGGCUUGCCAGAAACCGCAAAUGUUUUCAUAAUGACCUCGGAUCAGGUAGGGAUACCCGCUGAACUUAAGCAUAUCAAUAAGCGGAGGAAAAGAAACCAACAGGGAUUGCCUCAGUAACGGCGAGUGAAGCGGCAACAGCUCAAAUUUGAAAUCUGGCCCCGUCGGGGUCCGAGUUGUAAUUUGUAGAGAGUGUUUCGGGUGAGACCACGGUCUAAGUUCAUUGGAACAUGGCGUCAUAGAGGGUGAGAAUCCCGUAUGUGACUGUGGCUCGAGCCCAUGUGAAGCCUCUUCGACGAGUCGAGUUGUUUGGGAAUGCAGCUCAAAAUGGGUGGUAAAUUUCAUCUAAAGCUAAAUACUGGCUGGAGACCGAUAGCGCACAAGUAGAGUGAUCGAAAGAUGAAAAGCACUUUGGAAAGAGAGUCAAACAGUACGUGAAAUUGUUGAAAGGGAAGCGCUUGCAACCAGACCUGUCCGUAGGUGAUCAGCCGCUGUUCUCAGCGGUGCACUCGCUCUGCGAUCAGGCCAGCAUCGGUUUCGGCGGUUGGAUAAAGGCCUUGGGAAUGUAGCUCCCUUCGGGGAGUCUUAUAGCCCUCGGUGCAAUGCGGCCAGCCGGGACCGAGGACCGCGCUUCGGCUAGGAUGCUGGCGUAAUGGUUGUAAGCGACCCGUCUUGAAACACGGACCAAGGAGUCUAACAUCUAUGCGAGUGUUUGGGUGUUAAACCCAUGCGCGGAAUGAAAGUGAACGGAGGUGAGAACCCUUUAGGGCGCAUCAUCGACCGAUCCAGAUGUCUUCGGAUGGAUUUGAGUAUGAGCAUAGCUGUUGGGACCCGAAAGAUGGUGA
rnacentral:rRNA from 1 species